UCCUUUUGUAAUUCUUGAAAAAUAAUUUUCAAAGCAGGAUCACGAGAUCUUUGGUAUUGACGUCUCCGUAUGUUCUUCAAACGUAUAAGAAGUUGAAGUUCACUGUCAAUAAUUGGUGCAUUAAAUUUUACUCUUGCCUUAGGAACUGAUAAAUUCCGGGCACUGAGUAUUAAGCUGCUAAAAUUUUCUAAUGCUCUGUCAAUGUCAGCACUAUUUUGUAAAAUAAUAUCAUCAUUCAAAUUUUCCUCGAUCGUAGAACGAUAUCUAUCCCAAUUAGUCUUGUGAUAAUUUAACACAGAUCUAGUGGGAUUUAAAAUAGUUUCAUGGGAAAUAGAAAAUGUUAUGGGAAGAUGAUCAGAAUCAAAGUCAGCAUGAGUUGAUAAAUCACUGCAUGAAUGGCUUUGAUUUGUUUGUACCAAAUCAAUUGUAGAUGGAUUCCUUAUAGAAGAAUAACAUGUAGGACCAUUUGGAAAUAAAACUGAAUAAAAUCCAGCCGAGCAAUCAUUAAACAAUAUUUUGCCAUUGGAAUUGCUUUGAGCAUUAUUCCAAGAUCGAUGUUUCGCAUUAAAAUCACCGAUGAUUAAAAAUUUAGAUUCAUUUCUUGUGAGUUUUUGCAAAACUCCCUUGAAAUAAUUUUUUCGCUCACCAGUGCAUUGAAAAGGCAAAUACACUGCGGCUAUAAAUAAAAUGCCAAUACUUGUUUCAAUUUCAAUUCCCAAACUCUCGAUAACUUUGGUUUCAAGAUGGGGUAAAACACGAUGUUUUAUUCGACGGUGGAUAACUAUUGCAACUCCACCACCGGCAACAUCAAUUCUAUCAAACCUAUGAACUAUAAAAUUUGGGUUCUUUUUCAGUUUAAUAUUUGGCUUCAAAAGCGUUUCAGUCACAACUGCAAUAUGCACAAGCACAUCGUGGACUGUUAAAAAAUUUAAAAAUUCAUCCUCUUUCGCUUUUAAAGAGCGAGCAUUCCAAUUUAGAAAAUUUACAGCAUUACUUAAAAUCAUUGCUGAAUUCCAAUUUCAUAACAAUAUUAGUUAUGAAUUUUAUACCUUCUUGAACAGCCUCGUACAUCGAGUUACAGUUCAACAAAACGGACAUUAGCUGCAGCAUGGAUUGUUGUAGGUAUUCAAUCUUUUCGGGAGUUGGAUUACCUAAAUCAAUACUGGCUGACUUUUCAGCACCAAACACGAAUGGUUUGUUACUGUUUGAAUUUGAAAUAUUACCUGAAAGGACACUGGGAUAUGAACAGCCUGGUGUUGCCUGAGCAGGAUUAUUUUUCUGAAAUUUGUUAUCUGAAUUUAAAUAAUUACCUACAGACACACCUGCUAAUGAAAGUGCUGGUGAUGCCUGAACAGUACUGAAAGUCUUUUGAUUACCCACAUUGACGACAGGUUGUUUAGAAUUCCUACGUUGUCUAGAAGCAAUAAUUUUUGACCUUACAGGACAAUUAAAGAAAUUAGAUUUGUGAUUUCCCCCACAAUUUACACAUUUGAAACUAUUAGUGAUCUCUUUCACGGGGCAGAUAUCUUUCGUGUGACUAGUGUCACCACAAAUCAUACAUUUUGCAGCCAUAUGACAGUUUCGAGCUCCAUGACCAUAGGCUUGACAAUUCCGACAUUGCGUAAGAUUAUGGAUUCCUCCAUGUCUCUUGAAAUUUUUCCACUUUAUUCGCACGUUGAAUAAAACACGUGCUUUUUCUAAACAUUUUAAAUUAUGUACUUUGGUACGAUCAAAAUGUACUAAGUAAUUUUCCUGGUGUAUUCCAGUUUGAAAAAUUUUGGCAUUUGCCUUUCGUUUCAUCAAAAUUACUUGGUUGAGGGCAAAACCAAGUGAUUCUGACACACAAUCUUUGAUUUCAUCAAUACUUUGAUCAUUUGAGAGACCUUUCAACACAGCCUUAAACGGUCUCUCGUUUUUGGCAUCAAAAGAGUAAAAUUUAUACAUCUUUUCAGUCAAAUACUGUAAAAGAUGUUUAUGGCCAUCAAAAGAUUCGGCCAAAAUACGAAUUUCGCCUUGGCGACCAAUUUGAAAAUUAACUUUCACAUUCGAUAGAAAUGAUGAAAGUUCUGAUCGAAAUGCUUUAAAGUUUGCUACAAAUACCACAAUAGGUGGAACUUUAACCUUCUUCAUAACGGCUUUAUGCUCAGUAUGAGAAGUUUGGAGUUCUUGAUCCCCAACGGAAGAAAGAAUAUCAUACCUGUUAGUCGAAAUUUCAGUGUCACUUGGAGGAGAUGCCUCACGUUUCCCUGAAGCCGCAUCAAAGCGAGCUUUUUUAUUUUUUCCAGGCAUAACUGGAAAACUUCACUACACUUUCACUUCACUAUAGAAUUUAAGUAGAAAAAAAAAAAACAAAAUUAUUACUUUGCGUUUCAACAGGUAGUCUUUUAAAAAGAUUGCCUGUUGAAAGCGAAAAGCAAAAUUUCAAUAUCUCUCGGUAGUCUAAGACUUAGCCUCGAGCUGUUGGUAAAAUGCGACCGUACUGUAGGACAGUUCAAGUCGAUCAACUCAGUACGAUUAAAGAUCUCUUUUGCAAGGGCGGCUCUUAGAUAAGGGAAUAUUGGUUAUUUUUGAAGAUGUAUUUCAUCUCGCCGGAAAUGACUCUUGAAAAGUUAUCCACAACUUUAAUUACUUACUCUCCUGGUGAAACAUCUCUCAGGAUUUCACCUGCGUCACAAUGUUACGGCGAAGCACUUUUGAGCGUCCUACAUCUCCGAGAUCUUGAUCCACUUGGUCCAGCCGCCUGCUCGUUGCGCGCCUCUACGUAUUGUACCGGCCGGGUUCGAGACGAGCACCAUUUUUGCGAGAUUGUUGUCCGGCAUUCUUACAACUUGUCCCUCACCAGGGAUGCGAGGCAUUUUUUCAAAUGUCGGCACGUUCCGAGAAAAAAAUGUUUUCACAUGUCUUCCCGCUCGAAGGCUGAAAAAAAUUACCGCCGAAUCGAAAACUGGCAAGCAAACAAAAAAAAAGGACACCAUCGCUGAAAAAUGCAGGUCACAAUCACAUAUUUUCCAAUGUCAAUACCUGUUUUUCAAUGUCUUCACUUUGUCUUCACAAUGUUUUCCAAUUUGGCAUCGCUGAUCCUCACAUACUCCGCCGAAGAUGGUUCUAAGCACACGUCGUUCGAAAAUGGCUAGUGCUUACAAGUUCUCCUCGAACAUUGUCCAUCUUUCGUGCCCGUGGAGGAACACCGGUCUUAUGAGCGUCUUGUACUUGGAGCACGCAGUACGGGGGUUUGCCAGACCUCAACGUGUUGUGGAGUCCGUAGUAGGCAUGACUUCCAGUUACAAUAGGUCUGUGGAUUUCUCUGCUGAAGUUGUUGCCUGACGUUACUAAUGAUCCGAGGUACACAAAUUUCGUCAACCACCUCGAACUCAUCUCUGUCGAUCACUACGCGUCCUACGAGCCCUGUCGCGCUCGGUUCCCCUGCUAGCAGAUACUUGGACUUCGACGAAUUCACCUUCAAUCCAACCUUUUCUGCUUCAGCUUUCAGCUUGGUGUAGUGUUCGCUUGUCACGUCCUUCCGACAAGGUCCACGUCAUCAGCAAAACAGAUGAACUGGCUGGGCUGGCCCCGUAUAUUAAAGGCCUCACAUUUCAUAGGCGGUCCCCGUGGUUCUGUGGUUAACGAUGUAGGUCGGCUAGCUCUCCCACACGGUUGUGAUAUCGGGUUCGAUUCCCGAUUAGGUCGAGGAUCUUUUCGAGCUGGAAAUUUUCUCGACUCAGCACUGGGGCACGGUGUAUCGUGGUACUUAUCCUACAACAUGCGAAAAUGUGCCGAAAACAAUAUCGAUAACAAAUUCUCUCAACUUAUCUAGUUGAUCGAGACCGCAUUAGCCCCCCAGGCUAGCGUGCGAUAUUGUUUUUUACGUUUCAUAAAACUUUCAAGCACAAUGUUGAACAGGAGGCAGGAAAGACUGUCGCCUUGUUCUGUAUCACAAAUCCUGACUAUCAGCUGAUCCAGACAAGAAGCGAACCUAUCCGGGCCUAGCUUGAUAAGCUCCGCUGUGAUUCCAUUUCCGCUGUUUCGACGCAUCCCUCAAGCGUUUAGUUUCUUGUAGAAUCUACGUGUUUCUUGAGAACGAUACAGCUGCUUAUUUCACCCACACUCCACCGCUUCCAGGCGGGGCUUUUUGUUCCGGAAAAGAUUGGCCUGCUGUCUUCGUUUCAGUUCGCACCGACUCAUGUUAUGACAGGUCCUUUACUGCAGCAUCAAUUCCCGCGCUGCAUUCUUCUAGUCUAGAAUCAUUUGACACUUCUUGUCGAACCAGCCGUUACGUUGAUUCCUUUCGACGAAUCCAACAGCACCUUCCGCUACGUUGUUAAUGGCUGCUUCCACAGAACUCAAACAAAUCUCCAAGGUGACUUCGGUAAGCUCUUUCUCAUCCGGUAACGAUGCCUCAAGGCUUUGCGUGUAUUCAGCAGCGAAUCCGGGGAGUUUAAGUUGCUCCAGAUCAUACCGUGGCGGGCGACGGUAGCAGAAGUUGUCGACAACCGGAAGUCAAAAUAUGAUCGAUUUGUAUUUCAGUCUGUUGUGGUGAGCACCAGGUGUACCGAUAUGGAAGACUAUGCUGGAAGUAGGUACUACGUAUGGCCAUGUCUUGGAGACGGCAAAGGCAAUGAGUCGAAGGCCGUUUUCGUUCGUGAGCCGGAGUGCGCUGAACUUUCCAUUAAGCGCUCUGAGUUCCUCCUUCUGGCCAACCUGAGCGUUGAGAUCUCCGAUGACGAUUAAACUGAGGUUUAAACGUGAAACUCAAACAAAUUCUUCAAAAACUCGUAAAUUCCCAAAAAAAAUUAAGAGACAGAAAUUUUGUUUCUUAUACGAAGUUACAUAAAAUUUUCUAAUCUAAAACUUUGUCGAAAACUGCAAUGCUCUAGCGUGUAAGAAUAAAAAGUUGGUGUCGAAGCGCCAUCUCUGCGGCCAAAUCGCGAACUAAACUGAGCAUCAAGUUGAAGUUCUUAUUACACUGAGAAACUUUGCUGAAGACUGCACAUAGGUUGGAUAGAGUAUCAAAGUACUGGACCGUGUAUUCCAUGCAAUAAAUACAUAGCAAUUGUAUUUUUAUAUGAAACCUAUGGUUAUAUUCAAACUAAAAUAUCACAAAAACACCAAAAAACACUUCUUUCAAAUUUUCAGAAAAUAAAGAUUUUUUGAUGGACAAUUUUUAGAAAAAAAAAAAGUUUUGCUAAUACUUGCUACCCGUUGAGAUAUCUACUUCACAAAAUUAUGUAUUUUUUUUUCAAAUUUUGUGUAUUAUUUUCACUUAAGUACUUCAGAAACUUCUGUACUCGGAAGAAAACGACGCAAUUAUUCAAUUUCUAUCGAAAAAAAAAUUGUAAGAAAUCAUAUCGAGUGAAUUCAUAAAAUUAUCACAAUAAAAAGUGAAAUUCAGACAAAAUUUAUAAAAACUGGUAGAUCUCUGAAACUUGAAGAGUUAUAAAUUUUGUAUAUCAUGUAAAGUUUCAUGGAAUUCAGAGAUCUACAACUAUGUCGAAUACCGCAAAGCUCUAGCGUGUAAGGGAAAAAAGAAGUUGGCAUCGCAACGCCACCUUUGCGGCUGAAUUCCGAACCAAUUCAAACAUCCAAAAUGACGCCCUAACUAUGCCAAGAAACUUUGUAGAAGAUCGGAAACCGAUUGGUCAAACCCCAAGAGCGCUAUUAAUUUCGUUCCGCUAGAUUCCAUUUCUGGCCCAGUGUGCAGUGUACCGUCAGUAGGAUUUCUAUCAGAAGUAACCUGUCCUAUCGAGUUUAUACGCUAAGCUGGACUGAGCAAACAAAUUUGAUUCAAUUUUCAGGGCACAGGUAGGAUCUGCAACAUGUUGCAGAGGUUAAUUUUGAUAGAAAUCUGAUUGAUGGCGGUACACUUGUAGUGUUGGCAGGAAACAAGAUUCGACAUACUCAACUUUUAACAGCCAUUGCCAUAGCAUUUUUUAUGGACAUCGUAGCUCCUUAGUGUCUUCGGCACCGUUGUUAAGCAUAAAAAAAUACGCUUUGAAAUUUUAAAACCUAUGGUUCAGACCAUUUUGAGCCCUUUAGAAUGAAAAAUGCAAAGAAGUAGGUAUUUUCAUGCAAACUUUCAUACAAAUUGGAAGUGCAAUGCGCCUAGCGCAGACGAAACCAAUCGACUCUCAAGAAAUUUAGGAUUGUUUGGAGUCCCAAUCGAAACAAAAAAAACUUAGUUCUGGCUUUGUGCUCGCAAGCUUCAUUUUUUCCACAUAUCGACGCCCCACUUUAAUAUGUAUCUUUAGUAUUACUUGUGAAAUACCUAGAUUAUUUUCAAACCAAAAGUAUCUCGCUUAUCACGAUAGUGACAAAAUUAUACAGUAUGAAUCAAGUAAAUAAUACAUACCAUCUUGCAUUGCAGCAACUUCUGUAAAUUCUUAAUUCGUGUGUUAAUUCUACGUAUUCCAGACUUUUUCUUGACAGCAGGGUAUCGAUUUGUCUGUAGCUGUUUAAUUAAGUGGUGAUUUGGGCAUUGAUGAAAGUGGAUUGUAAACGGUGAAUGAUCUGAUUCGAAUUUAAUAACUAUUGUGUUCAUCCCCUUCGACAACGUUUAUCGGCACCACUUACUGUCAAGCGGGCAUUCUUCACUCGCAGCCAAAUCUCACGCUGUGUAAAUUAGAUUUUGUUUAUUCAAAGUGCUGUUGAAGCGGUAGGCAGAGGCAGUAGCGCGUUUUUUGAGGACUCUUGUGAGUAUGGUGGCAUCGUAAUACCUACCACAGGGGGUUGCAGAUGUUGGAUAGUGAAACCGUCAAUUUCCUAUUCUCUUUCUCGCUACUGAGCAAUCAAUCAAAAUCGUAUCAUCUCCAGGAAAACAUGUUCCGCAAAUGAAAAUUCGUAAUUUCGUAGGAUAAAUACCAACAAAUAAAUAGCCCUCUGUGAGCUUUUUAUUCCUUUUUUGCUCGUUUGUGUGAGCGCAAAACAUUAGAGUGUAGACACGUGGCCAACGUUCCGGGUGUAAACAGCAUUUCGUUUAACACCAUCUCGAUGAGGCCUGGGUAGUUUUACCGAUGUUGCUGUUUGAUAAGCUAAGAGCAUUUUGUUCCCAUAACAACAAGCCGCGAUAUCAAUAAGUUUGCUCAAAAAAUUAAUUAGAAGUGUUGACACGUGACCAAGCGUUCAAUAUAAAUAUCACGCUUCGGUUGACUUAACACGUGUAAUGUAAGCAAUAAUCGCAAUCAAGAUCGUUGACAGUAUCAACCAAGUUGUCAACCUACCACACUAAACCUUGCUACGUUUGUUUUGUUGUUCCGAACAGAAGUAUAUCGCGCGAAAAACCCUGUAAUGUUUUUCUGUGGAAAUUCGGUUCUAAUAUGAUUCAAUCAGUGUUAUUAUUCUGGUUUUAGGAAUUCACAAAGAGAUGAUUGAAUAUAUGUAGCUAAAAAAUAUCGCUGGAGAACAAUAUCGCACAUGCGAGCGCAGCAUUCAUGUAUACGCAUGCGAAAAUUUGGAUGAAGUAUAAUAGUGCUAAAACUAAGAGUUUAUUAUAAAUCCAAUAAAUAAUAAUAAUAAAAGCAACAAAAGCGUCGUAUUUUCACCUAAAUUCAACUACCAUCUUUGUCUGCGCAAAAAGACAAGGAAUGUUGAAUGGGUUUCAAAUAUUCCAAACUUUAUGUGAUUUUAACUGUUUGUUUCGCAGUGCCUUGUCACAAUAUCACAAUAAUACAAUGACAGCGGGGCUUGAGCGCGGUGGGCUGAGCAAAGCGGAUAAUGUACCCAUCGUAAACAGGGAGUAGGAUGUUUAUAAUUAAACACUUACUUUUCAUAUUUGUUUUAUUAUGAAGCGCGAUUGCCUGGUACGCCUGUCGCCAGUAGGUUGGCAAUCUUUGCGGAAGGGGUGCAAAGUUACGAGGGUGUGCUGUAGCUUUGUUCUUUCUGCACCAUCCUUCGCCACCGAGCACGACGUGGUUCCAGAGUAGUUUGUGAGCUUUGCACAUGCCCUCGUUUAAUAAUUUUCCGGUCCAAUACAGGGGUGAAAACUGCGGAAGCGUUUGAAAAUAAAUCGUCGCUCAUAUUUGUCUUCAAAUUAAAUAUCAUAAAUAAUAAUGAUCGGUUGCGGUAAUGGAUUUGGUGUGACAAUAAGACAUAUGAAAUGAUAAUUUCGAGAGGAUUAUGGGAUUGAGAAGGUAGAAAAAGGGACAGAAAGCUGUUUGCGGCUAGCUUAAUUGAUUCUCAUGAGUAAUUUAUUCCAUAUUCGUGCCAGAGCAAUUAAACUCUGUUAUUUUUUUUCUUUUCUCCGAUUCACCAUCACACAGCAAUAUACACAUCCAAAGCUUUAAUCUGAAUUUAUCAUGUUAUUUGAUAAAGAUGUUUUGCUUCAUUACUGUACAUGUACUAUAUUGAUUCAAUUAUUGUUUGAUGAAUGAAUUGAUUGAAAAAUGUGUAUGGUAGUGAGCAAAUGACUCCGUUUAUUUGAAGUAGUUUAAUUAGGGAUUACAUACAGACCAUGCUCUCCAGAUGGUUAAAAAACACAUAAUAUUCGUGCCACUAUAGACCUCAAAUCUGUCAAUUCAAUUUCGAAUGUCGGAGUCGAAAAGAGCAUCAGCUGAGUAGAGAAGAGACAGCGAAAACCAUGCAAAGUUUUCGAAGACGCAGCAGUUUGCAGAUGUAGUCAUGGCCUCUGUAUUUUAUGAUAUGCGUGGGUUUUUGUCUACAACAAUUUCACUUAAUGACCAAACGAUGCAUUAUUAUAUCCAUAGGAUAAAAACAAGAAAAAAUGUUUGUAUUUUUUAGAAAUGCAGCAAUCUGCAAGUUGAUGACAACAAGCGAAUAAUUUAAUAAUUGAAUAAUUUUCUAAUAGACUUCUUCUUUGCUCUGAAGUUCUAGUUUAUGACUUAAACUAAUUUAAGCAAUAAUUAAUGACUACUACAAGGUAUCAAGAAUUUUUAUAAAAUAUAAAUUUACCUCUAACUGGUUAUAACACAGCAUCAUUGUUAUUCUUAAAGUUCUGUAAAAAUCUAAUGAAGAGUAAGUUAUUUUAUUAGAGAUCGUUGUUUGAGCUAGAAUUAUAAGUAUUUUUUUUGGUUCAUGAUUGAAAUCCAGAAAAGCUAAUUCUAAUUUGUGCAAAAACUACUACAUCUAAGUAAGUACACGGGGAGUAAAACAUUUAAUAGACGUCGAUACAAUUUCCACAAUACUUCCGAGCAUACUGCUCGUUAUUUAGCAAAGGAUUUCCGCUCCAAUCAAAUUUCCACAUGAUUUCGAUUCACCGAGCAUACAAAUAUUGGUUUCAUUUCGAAUUGCGCCACAGAAUCACAUUUCCCAUUGUUUAGAAAAGGUACCGAUACACAUUGAGCACAUGCAAUGCACGAUGCAUUGUCUGAUUUCGCAUGUCCUACCUCCUGGCUGGCUGGCUGACUGGGUGCCGAGAUUGCUGCAGCGAAGCAGAAGUUUGGUUUCACCGAUUCCAUUCUCCGUUCAACAAAUCAUAUUUAGAUGUCCCUGGGACGGAAAAUGGAAGCUUCACCGCAAGCGUACGCUACCGCACGGAAUGGGAACCACACAUAUGUGAGUAUACAUACAUUCAUAGUCUAUACCACUCAGGCAACGGGAGUUCGAUCCGAAGCGAACAAUUUAUUUUAUUGCCUACAGUUAGUACACAAAAGCGGUUCCAAUUCAAAGGAUUCGCCGGAAACAGCGUCUAGCCCAGAUAACAAUAUUCGAAAACUUUUCUGAAUCACAGAACGUGAUUACUCUAAAUAAAAUCAACCUCUAUAAAAAUUUGUGCGCUUAAUCUAUCAAUCGCAUUUCCAGGCUGCCGCAUAGACCACGGUACGCUUCACGUAUUGAUACACGCAUCAAUAGAGGAUGAUAUUACCGAUGGAUGAUGGUGAUGAUGUAUGUAGCAGAGACUAGGAAUUGUACCCGGUGAUUGGUUUUGCAUUCCGCACACAUCAAUCGACCAACCUCCGUCGAAUGUUCCGAAGCGUGCACAGGCACUGUAUUUUCGAAUCGCUCACAGACUAUGCUUGGCCGCAUUUCCGUUCAAUAUGUGCUGUUCAAUAUUUACCUACUCGGGAAACGCUGAAUAUUGAAUCGUUUUAUAACACACAGCAGUACACACCGAUGGAAUUAGAUCCAAGCGCCCUCUUCAUUUGUAAAAGAAUUGCAGUCUGACUUCUUGUUGGAAAAGAAAAUUCAAAUUCUCGAAAGUUUUAUUUUAAA